UACCAGCACCCCGAGUGGUCGGGACGUUUUAUUGGGCCUAAAGCAUCCGUAGCCGGUUCUACAAGUCUUCCGUUAAAUCCAGCUGCUUAACAGAAUGGGCUGCGGAAGAUACUAUGGAGCUAGGAGGCGGGAGAGGCAAGCGGUACUCGAUGGGUAGGGGUAAAAUCCGUUGAUCCAUUGAAGACCACCAGUGGCGAAGGCGGCUUGCCAGAACGCGCUCGACGGUGAGGGAUGAAAGCUGGGGGGAGCAAACCGG
rnacentral:rRNA from 1 species